GAUGAACGCUGGCGGCGUGCUUAACACAUGCAAGUCGAGCGAGAAGUUUUGAAAAGAUUCUUCGGAUGAAAUUUAAAAUGGAAAGCGGCGGACGGGUGAGUAACGCGUAGGCAACCUGCCCCAUACAAAGGGAUAGCAUUUGGAAACGAAUAUUAAUACCUUAUGAAACUUAACUAGUGCAUGAUAGGUAGGUCAAAGAUUUAUCGGUAUGGGAUGGGCCUGCGUCUGAUUAGCUAGUUGGUGAGGUAACGGCUCACCAAGGCGACUAUCAGUAGCCGACCUAAGAGGGUGAACGGCCACAUUGGAACUGAGACACGGUCCAAACUCCUACGGGAGGAGGCAGGGGGGAAUAUUGAUAAAUGGAGGAAAGUCUGAUGCAGCAACAGCGCGUGAACGAAGAAGGCCCUUGGUUAACAAAGUUCUGUUUUAAGUAAUGAAGACUGACAGUAACCCAUAAGAAAGCCACGGCUAACUACGUG
rnacentral:rRNA from 1 species